UUGGCUUAGAAGCAGCCAUCCUUUAAAGAAAGCGUAACAGCUCACUGGUCUAAUUAAGACGUCCUGCGCCGAAAAUGUAACGGGGCUAAAGUCAUACACCGAAGAUGCGGGCGCAAUUUAUUGCGCGGUAGCGGAGCGUUCUGUAAGCCUGCGAAGGGAGCACGCGAGUGUUUCUGGAGGUAUCAGAAGUGAGAAUGCUGACAUGAGUAACGACAAGGAGGGUGAGAAACCCUCCCGCCGAAAGUCCAAGGGUUCCUGCGCAAUGUUAAUCAGCGCAGGGUUAGUCGGCCCCUAAGGCGAGGGCGAAAGCCGUAGUCGAUGGGAAGCAGGUUAAUAUUCCUGCACUAGUGGGUAGUGACGAAUUGCGUAAGUUGUUCCUCCUUAUUGGAUUGGAGGGGCCGCGAAGCAGUUCCAGGAAAUAGCUCCCACAUUAUAACCGUACCCGAAACCGACACAGGUGGACUGGUAGAGUAUACCAAGGCGCUUGAGAGAACGAUGUUGAAGGAACUCGGCAAAUUGCCUCCGUAACUUCGGGAGAAGGAGGCCCACCAGGGAGGCAACUCUUUGGUGGGGGCACAGACCAGGGGGUAGCGACUGUUUAUUAAAAACACAGGGCUCUGCGAAGUUGCAAAACGACGUAUAGGGUCUGACGCCUGCCCGGUGCCGGAAGGUUAAGAGGAGAGGUGCAAGCUUUGAAUCGAAGCCCCGGUAAACGGCGGCCGUAACGAUAACGGUCCUAAGGUAGCGAAGUUCCUUGUCGGGUAAGUUCCGACCCGCACGAAAGGUGUAACGAUUUGAAUGCUGUCUAAGAGAGAGAUUCGGUGAAAUAGACAUGUCUGUGAAGAUGCGGACUACCUGUACCAGGACAGAAAGACCCUAUGAAGCUUUACUGUAAUUAGAGAUUGAUGUAAAUUAUAUUUUGUGCAGAAUAAAUGGGAGUUAAUUAUUUUAUUUUUAACAUCAGUGAGAUACCAUUCUUAACAUAAUUUACAUCUAACAUUAAAUGUAUUAAUGAACAUUUUUUAAUGGACAGUUUGACUGGGGCGGUCACCUCCUAAAGAGUAACGGAGGUGUGCAAUGGUUUUAUUAAGUCGGUCAGAAAUCGAUUUGUAUGCAUAAAGGUAAAUAAAAGCUUAACUGUAAGACCUACACGUCAAACAGAGACGAAAGUCGGCCUUAGUGAUCUGAUAAUACUGAAUGGAAAGGUUAUCACUCAACGGAUAAAAGUUACUCUAGGGAUAACAGGCUGAUCUCCCCCAAGAGUUCACAU
rnacentral:rRNA from 13 species